AAUCCUUUAUUAUUGAAUAAACAAAGGGGCAGAUGACAGGAAACACCUUACACUUGUUGCUUCUGUUCUCUUUCUUUCCUGGGGAGAUCAUCCACAAAAAAAUAUUAUACAGAAUUGACCACAUCCCCAGAUCCUGGAUGGGUCCUGAUUAAAAUAAGCCAAUUUGCAUCUUGGGGUUUUUAAACUCAUCAUCUUAACAAGCACAUCCCAAGUCAUCAUACUGCUUGUGAAGACUCCCUAAUAGACAACCAAGUAAAGAUACCAUAAUUUUCUUUCCAUAUUGUAGAUGACUUAAAUUGGGUCCAUUUUUAAAGUCUUAUCAAUAUAUUGGGGACUAAAUAGCCUUAUGCAUAAAACUUUAUUCCAUAUUUGAAUGUAUUUACGUAGGAAAUAGAUUCCUAGAAAAGGAUUAUCUUGGUCAAAGGCUAAGACCAUUUUAAGGUUCCUUAUGUAUAUUAGCACCAUGUAUAACAUGUCCUUACGCCCUCUGCUUUGUGUAUUUUGAGGCUCUUGAUGAAUCUCUUUCAAAUGAGCAGGCGUCUGAAAGGCAACAUUCCCUCUCAUCACUCCUGAAACCCAGGCAUUGAUAAGACAGCUCUGUCGACAUAGUGGUGAUUUAAGUGAGUUGUACUGCUCAGGACUCAUGGCAUCAUUGCAAAUGCCACACCUAUGCAGUUAGAACAGCUGUGGAAUAACAAACGACGUCUCUGCCGGAGGAGAAACCAACUACAGAGCUCUAGUGAGAAGGAACCAGCUAAGUGUGGUCCCAGGAUGACACCAACAUCUCACCUUCUCUGGCUGUGGAAACCACUUCCCCAUAAACAGCCCCAGUCAAGUGAGAACUUGAACUAUUCUUGCAAAUACCCUGAACCCUGUGGUUACCCAAGACCCCUCUUACAUACACAAGUCAACAAGGCACCAUUGUACUUAAAAACUUCCUUUUUCAUCACCCCCAGUUUCCAUCUCCCCACGGUCCACAGCUUAUGCCUUAAGAGUAAGAGACAUCGCUUGGACCCCAGAAGGAGGCUGAUAACAGCGAGUUGUUCUGGCCCUCACUCUUGAGCCCUUACCAUCCUCCCCAAGGCCCUGUUCUCAGUCCUCCUGCUGCCAUCCGCUGUUGUCCCCUGGAGUAGGUGGAGGAGUAGAAAGACCUUAAGCUCACCUCCUCUCACGGGCACACCAAGAUUACAACUGUUUACAGAACACCUAUUAAUGAAAAAGACCAGAAUCUACCCAAAAGGAUCCCUUACAACUAAAGAUUUAAAGAAGGAACCACAGCAAGACAGGAAGGGAGGAGUCACAGUGCAGUCAAGAUUCAUACACCCAGGUGGGCAACCCACAAACUGAAGAAUAAUUACAGUGACAGAGGUUCUCCCAAAGAGUACAGGGUCAGAGCCUCACAUUGGGCCCCCAAGCCCAGGGGUCCUGGGCCAGAAAAACAAGCCCCUAGAACAUCUGUCUUUGAAGGCCAAGGGGGCUUAAUUUCGGGGAUUUCCAGAGGGCUUGGGAAAUAGAGACUCCAUUCUUAAAGGGCACGCACAAAAUCUCCAUUCAGAUUGCAGGGCCUGGAACAGAAGCAAUGAUCUGAUAGGAGCCUAGGUCAGACCUUCCUGCUGAUCUCAGAGAGUCUCCCGGAGAGCCAGGAGGUGACUAGAGCUCACCGUAGGGACACAGACACUAGAAGGAGCCAUUUGGGGGAGUUUUUCCUACCACAUGGACACUGAUGCUGGCAAGUGCCAUUUUGGAAUCCUCCCUCUGGCUUAUUAGCCUCAGGAUCAAGUUCCACCCCUACCCAUCAGCCCAUAGGCACCAGUACUGGGACACCACAAGGCAAGCUACUAACUGGGCAGGGACACAGCCCUACUCAUCACCAGAUAGGCUGCCUUAAGACUACCUGAGUCCAUGGCCUCCCAUGGACAUGGCCCUACCUACCAGAGGGCCAAGAACCAGGCCUCAUACACUAGUGAGCAGACACCAGAUCCAGGACCCUCAGAGUCCUGUAGCCAGAGACCCUGGGACCCAGUUCCACCCAUCAGUGGGCAGGCACCAGCCUCAGAACCUCCAGCCUCUCCACCAGCAAGCCCGCCCUAGACUUAGGACCAAUCUUAACCACCAGUGAACGGACACAAGCCCCAAGAAAACCUCAGCCCUAUACCUGUGGACCUAUCCCACCCACCAACAGGCCAGCAUCAACCUCAGACUAACUGGGCCCUGGCCCUGACUACUGGUGAGCCUUGUCUAACUUCAGGACCAGCCUCACCCAGCACCAGGUAUAUACCAAGCCCACAAAAACCGCAUCUCUGUAGCCUGAAGACCCAGCCCACCCACCAGCAGGCCAGCACCAUCCCUAGGACUGACUGGGCCCAGGCCUCACCCACCGGCAUGCUAACACAAGCUUCAGGAUACUCUACACCCCAUAGCCAGCUGUGUCACUAAUCAGUCCCACCCACCAGCAGUCUGACACCAGCUCUGGGACCCCUGGGCCCUGCAGCCAGACCUCAGGACUGCCUCUGCCUACCUUUGGGCCAGCACUAGCCCGAGGAACUGGAUUCACCCACUGGUGGUUGGGCACUAGCCCAGGGAUCCCCUCUACCCAAACUCUACCCACAAGUGAGCCAGCAUGAGCCCUGGGACCCCCUAGGGUUCUGCAACCAGCCUGACCCUUGCCCCUGCCCCAUGACUCAGCCACCCAAGCAGUGGAGGGCACCCUCUACACAAGGGAGAGCCUAGUAACCAACUGGACCAGGAGCCAGCCAAGCCUACAGACCACCCACAAUAAUUAUACCACCACAGCAGAAGGACCCAAGCAGCCCAUGUAGGAACAUUCCUGGAACAUAUAGUUCUAGUGACUAGAGGAGAGUGUGCCACUGGGGUGCAUAGGAAGCUCCUACAAAAGGUCACUUCUCCAAGGUCAGGAAACAUAACCAACUUACUAGAUACACAGAAAUCAAAACAGUGAGUUAGACAAGAUGAGGGGACAAAGGAACAUGUUCUAAACAAAGGAAUAAGAUAAACCCCAGAAGAACAAAGUGAAGUGGAAAUAGCCAAUCUACCUAAGGAGUAAUUCAAGGUAAUUAUUGUAUAUAGGAUUAAAUAGCUUAGGAAGCAUGGACAAACAGAGUGAGUAAUUAGAAGUUUUUAAGAAAGUAACAAAAGAGUUAGAAAAUAUAAGGAACAACCAAACAGAGAUAAAGAAUAGCUGAAAUGAAAAAUACACUAGAAGGAGUUGACAGUAGACUAAAUGAUACAGAGGAAUGGAUCAGCAAGCUGGAAGACAGAGUAGAGGAAAUCACUGAAAACAGAAAAAAAGAAUGUUUAAAAAUGAGGAGAGUUUAAGAGACCUCUGAAACAACACCAAGCACAAUAAUAUUUGCAUUAUACUGGUACCAGAAGGCAAAGAGAGAGAGGGAAAAGAGCAGAGAAUAUAUUUAAAGACAUAAUAGUUGAAAACUUCCCUAACCUGGAAAAGGAAACAGACAUCCAAGUCCAGGAAGAACAGAGAGUCCCAAACAAGACCAGCCCAAAGAGAACCACACCAUAACAUAUUGUAAUUAAAACCACAAAAAUUAAGGAGACUACGAAAAGCAGCAAGGCAAGGAGUUCCCAUCAUGGCACAGCAGAAAUGAAUCCAACUAGGAACUGUGAGGUUGCAGGUUUGAUCCCUGGCCUUGCUCAGUGGUGGGUUAAGGGUCUGGCAUUCUCAUGAGCUGUGGUGUAAAUUGCAGACACAUUUCAGAUCCUGCAUUGCUGUGGCUGUGGUAUAGGCCAGCAGCCACAGCUCUGAUUUGACUCCUAGCCUGGGAUCCUCCAUAUGCUUCAGGUGUGCCCCUAAAAAAACAAACAAAAAAUACUCUAUCUGGCAGGCUCUCAUUCAGAUUUGAUAGAGAGAUCAAAAGUUUACAGGGAAGCAAAAGUUCAAAGAGUUCAGCACUACCAAAUCAGCUUUGCAAGAAAUAUUAAAAGGAUAUCUCUAAACAAAAAAGAAAAGGCUAUAACUGGAAAUGUAAAAUUGGCAAAGACAAACAUAUAGUAAAGGUAGUAAAUCAACCAUAUACAUAGUUAGUAUGAAGGUUAAAAGACAAAAUAAAAUCAUUCAUAUCCACAAUAACCAGUUAAAGGAUACAAAAAACAAUUAGCUGUGAAACAUGAUGCCAAAAUCAAUAAUCAUGAGGGGAGGAGACUAAAAAUGUAGAGUUACUGAAAUGUGUUUGAUAUUAAGAGGUCAGCAACUUAAAAUCAUUACGUGUGUAUGUGGACUGCUAUACAUAAACCUCAUGGUAAUCACAGACCAAAAAUUGGUAAUACACACACACACACCCCAGAAAAGAAUCCAAACAUAACACUAAAGAUAAUCAUCAAAUCAUAAAGGAAGAGAACAAAAGGAGAAUAAACCAACAAAAGAGAACUAUGAGAACAGGAGUUCCUGCCAUGGUGCAGUGGGUAAAGGAUCUAGCAUUGCAUAAGUUGCAGCUGUGGUUCAGAUUCAAUCCUUGGCCCAGGAACUUCCAUAUGCUAUAGGCGUGGCCAUAAAAUUAAAAAAAAAAAAAAA
rnacentral:lncRNA from 1 species